CUUGCAUACCUAUAAGAGGUCCAGCCUGCCCAGUGACUCUGUUCAACGGCCGCGGUAUCCUAACCGUGCGAAGGUAGCGUAAUCACUUGUUCUUUAAAUGAGGACUAGUAUGAAUGGCAUCACGAAGGUUAUACUGUCUCCUCUUUCCAAUCAGUGAAACUAAUCUCCCCGUGAAGAAGCGGGGAUAACUUUAUAAGACGAGAAGACCCUAUGGAGCUUUAAACUAAGAAUCAACUGACUUUUCCACUUUUAAAUUCCAGAAAACUAACUUUUACCAAGACACUCUGAUUUCUAGUUUUAGGUUGGGGUGACCACGGAGUAAAAACUAACCUCCGCAAUGAACAGGGAUCUUCCCUUAACCAAGGACCACAACCCUAAGAAUCAACACAUUGACAUAAAUUGACCCAAAAAUUUGAUCAAUGAAC
rnacentral:rRNA from 1 species